rnacentral:rRNA from 1 species
GACGAACGCUGGCGGCGUGCUUAACACAUGCAAGUCGAACGGAAAGGCCCUGCUUUUGUGGGGUGCUCGAGUGGUGAACGGGUGAGUAACACGUGAGUAACCUGCCCUUGACUUUGGGAUAACUUCUGGAAACUGGGGCUAAUACCGGAUAGGAGCUCCUGCUGCAUGGUGGGGGUUGGAAAGUUUCGGCGGGUGGGGAUGGACUCGCGGCUUGUCAGCUUGUUGGGGGGGUAGUGGCUUACCAAGGCUUUGACGGGUAGCCGGCCUGGGAGGGUGACCGGACACGUUGGGACUGAGAUGCGGCACAGACUACUACGGGAGGCAGCGGUGGGGAAGAGUGCAUAAUGGGCGGAAGGCUGAUGCAGCAACGCCGCGUGGGGGGUGACGGCCUUCGGGUUGUAAACCGCUUUCGCCUGUGACGAAGCGUGAGUGACGGUAAUGGGUAAAGAAGCACCGGCUAACUACGUG